GUGCUAGAUAGCCAUGCAUGUCUAAGUAUAAGCAAUUAUACAGCGAAACUGCGAAUGGCUCAUUAAAUCAGUUAUCGUUUAUUUGAUAGUCCCCUACUACUUGGAUAACCGUGGUAAUUCUAGAGCUAAUACAUGCUAAAAACUGCGACUUCGGAAGCGGUGUGUUUAUUAGAUUAAAGACCAAUGCCCUUCGGGGCUAACUGGUGAUUCAUAAUAACCUAUCGAAUCGCACGGCCUUGCGCCGGCGAUGGUUCAUUCAAAUUUCUGCCCUAUCAACUUUCGACUUUAGUGUAGUGGACUAAAGUGGUUGCAACGGGUAACGGAGGGUUAGGGCUCGACCCCGGAGAAGGAGCCUGAGAAACGGCUACUACAUCCAAGGAAGGCAGCAGGCGCGCAAAUUACCCAAUCCCGACACGGGGAGGUAGUGACAAUAAAUACUGAUACAGGGCUCUUUUGGGUCUUGUAAUUGGAAUGAGUACAAUUUAAAUCCCUUAACGAGGAACAAUUGGAGGGCAAGUCUGGUGCCAGCAGCCGCGGUAAUUCCAGCUCCAAUAGCGUAUAUUAAAGUUGUUGUGGUUAAAAAGCUCGUAGUUGAACCUGGGCCCCGCGCCCGCCGGUCCGCCUCACCGCGUGCACUGGUGUGGCCGGGGCUUUCACUUGGGGGAACCGCAUGUCCUUCGCUGGGCGUGCGCGGAACCAGGACCUUACUGUGAAAAAUUUAGAGUGUUCAAAGCAGGCCUAUGCUCGAAUACCUUAGCAUGGAAUAAUAGAAUAGGACGCGGGGUUCUAUUUUGUUGGUUAUGGGACCGCCGUAAUGAUUAAUAGGGCCAGUCGGGGGCAUCAGUAUUCAUAGUCCAAGGGGAAAUUCUGGGAUUUUUUGAAGACUAACUUCUGGCAAAGCAUUUGCCAAGGAGGUUUCCUUUAAUCCGGAACCAAAGUUAGGGGAUCCAAAACAAACCAAAUCCCGCCGAAUCUUAACCUAAAACUUUGCCCACUAGGGAACGGGGCAGGUUACUUUUCGACUCGCUCGGACCCUUACAGAAAUCAAAAUCUGGGGGUUCCUGGGGAAAAUGGGGGCACCCCUAACUUAG
rnacentral:rRNA from 1 species